rnacentral:rRNA from 1 species
AACGAACGCUGGCGGCAUGCCUAACACAUGCAAGUCGAACGAGACCUUCGGGUCUAGUGGCGCACGGGUGCGUAACGCGUGGGAACCUGCCCUUAGGUUCGGAAUAACUCCCCGAAAGGGGUGCUAAUACCGGAUAAUGUCUUCGGACCAAAGAUUUAUCGCCUUUGGAUGGGCCCGCGUUGGAUUAGCUAGUUGGUAGGGUAAAAGCCUACCAAGGCGACGAUCCAUAGCUGGUCUGAGAGGAUGAUCAGCCACACUGGGACUGAGACACGGCCCAGACUCCUACGGGGGGCAGCAGUGGGGAAUAUUGGACAAGGGGCGAAAGCCUGAUCCAGCAAUGCCGCGUGAGUGAUGAAGGCCUUAGGGUUGUAAAGCUCUUUUACCCGGGAUGAUAAUGACAGUACCGGGAGAAUAAGCUCCGGCUAACUCCG